rnacentral:other from 2 species
ACUUCCUGAGCCGGAACGAAAAGCUAUUCUGAAAUGAAGGUUUUAGAGGGGCUUUUGGCUUACGGUUGUGAUGUUGUGUUGUUGUGUUUGCAUUGGUCUGCUAUUCAGACCCCGGCGGCAAAGGCUGCCUUUUUCACUUCCUGUACAUUUACCCUGUCUGUCCAUAGUGAUUUGUAUAGCACCGCAAUUUGCGGUGCUUUUUUUU